rnacentral:rRNA from 1 species
CCCUUAGAUGUUCUGGGCUGCACACGUGCUACACUGGCAGGUUCAGCGAGCUUCAUGCCCUGAUCUGAAAGGAAUGGGAAAUCUUUUCAAAACCUGCCGUGCUUGGGAUAGAUGUUUGCAAUUAUUCAUCUUCAACGAGGAUUGCCUUGUAAGCGCACGUCAUCAGCGUGCAUUUAAUACGACCCUGUAUUCUGUACACACCGCCCGUCGCUCCUACCGAUUGAAGUUUUCGGUGAGUUGACAGGAGGAUUUUUUUGAAACUGGUUCGCCAGUGGAUUUUAGAUCCAAAUGCCAACGAAUCGAUGGCUUUAGAGGAAGGAGAAGUCGUAACA